GACGAACGCUGGCGGCGUGCUUAACACAUGCAAGUCGAACGAAGUGGCGAACGGGUGAGUAACGCGUAAUCAACCUGCCCUUCAGAGGGGGACAACAGUUGGAAACGACUGCUAAUACCGCAUACUGAAGGAGGGGAUUGUUUCUGAUUAGCGAGGUGGAGGGGUAACGGCCCACCAAGGCGAUGAUAAGUAGCCGGUCUGAGAGGAUGAACGGCCACAUUGGGACUGAGACACGGCCCAGACUCCUACGGGAGGCAGCAGUGGGGAAUCUUCCGCAAUGGACGAAAGUCUGACGGAGCAACGCCGCGUGAGUGAUGACGGCCUUCGGGUUGUAAAGCUCUGUUAAUCGGGACGCGGUACCGGAAUAGAAAGCCACGGCUAACUACGUGCCAGCAGCCGCGGUAAUUC
rnacentral:rRNA from 1 species